UUUCGAGGAAUCCAAGAAGCCAAUGGCAAGAGCAAGGAGUUUCCGUUGCAUUCAACGGGCGGCGGCGUCGAGCGUCGUGCUUGCGCGGCGGCGGCGGAGGGAGCGCGGCCGGAGCGGGCGAGUGAGUUUCGCGUGCGGAGAUAAGGCGAGGUGGAGGCGGCACUGCAGUGUUGCGGCGGCCGAGGUGAGAGGUGCCGCGCCGGGCUCUGGUGCUGCUGUUGCUGCAUGCUGCCGCUGCUGGCUGUCUCACGCCCACAGUACACGCCCGCACCGCCCGCGCUGCACGUCCACAGCCAUCGCAGCCGAACCACCACCUGCACCGAGCACUCGUAGCUCUGAUGGGGGUCCCUCCCUGCCUCCUGCAAGCAGACAGUGCUGUGCUUGUAUUGAUUGCUGAGUGGAGGUGACAAGAAGUGUGAGAGUGAGGAGGAGGCAGCACACAGGCGGGCUGCCAGCCAAGCAGUGAGUGGUAUCUGUGCCAGCACUCGAGUCUGGGCGGCGCGGCGCGGCGACCGUCACACAGUACCCCGCUGCCCACUUGCACGGGGGGAUGCCUGCUGCACCGCUCUCGUGCCACCUUUGUCAUUAGUGAGGACUUGUGCUGUCAUGGACCUCGGCUUGUGUAGCUUACAUUCCUAUGGUUGAUUACUUACUGUGAUGUGGUUUUAUGGCAUUUUAUGUCAAGUGUUGUACAGUUUCGUGGCAGUAGUGUAGUGAGACAACUUGUGAUGUGAGUUUGAUCACUUGAUCUGUGCCAUCAUAAGUGGUGAUCCAGAAAGCAAAUGGUAAUGUGAUAUUACCAACCAAGCGAGUGUGAACUUAACCUGACAGUAUUGUAGGCAAUAUUUUCCUGGAGCAUAAACCAGCCUCACCAUAAUUUUGGUUGAGGACAGCAGCCCAGGAGAAGAAUUGAUGCUUUCAUCUGCUUGUGAUUCAUAUCCCAUUGGCUUUGCAGUGCAUGACAUACUGAGGCAAUGGAACAUUCCUCCCAGUCAGAGGAGGAACCACGAGAUAUGGUCCGGAACGGAG